CGGGCCAAGUCCCCUGGAACGGGGCGUCCUAGAGGGUGAGAGCCCCGUACCCUCCCGGCCGGCACUUCGCCGUGUGAAGCUCCUUCGACGAGUCGAGUUGUUUGGGAAUGCAGCUCCAAGCGGGAGGUAAAUUCCUUCUAAGGCUAAAUAUCGGCCGGAGACCGAUAGCGCACAAGUAGAGUGAUCGAAAGAUGAAAAGCACUUUGGAAAGAGAGUCAAAAAGCACGUGAAAUUGUUGAAAGGGAAGCUCUUGCCGCCAGACUUGCCGCGGUCGCUCAGCCGCCCCCCGGGGCGGCGCACUCUUCCGCGGCGGGCCAGCGUCAGUUCGGAGCGGCCGGACAAGAGCGUCGGGAACGUAGCUCCCCUCGGGGAGUGUUAUAGCCCGUCGCGCCAUGCGGCCGCCCGGUCUGAGGCACGCGUUCGCGAGGACGCUGGCGUAAUGGUCGCAAGCGACCCGUCUUGAAACACGGACCAAGGAGUCUAACAUCCACGCGAGUGUUCGGGUGUCAAACCCGCGCGCGCAAUCAACGUGAACGGAGGUGGGAACCCCCGGGGUGCACCAUCGACCGAUCCUGAUGUCCUCGGAUGGAUUUGAGUAAGAGCGUGGCUGUUGGGACCCGAAAGAUGGUGAACUAUACCUGGAUAGGGUGAAGCCAGAGGAAACUCUGGUGGAGGCUCGCAGCGGUUCUGACGUGCAAAUCGAUCGUCAAAUUUGGGUAUAGGGGCGAAAGACUAAUCGAACCAUCUAGUAGCUGGUUCCUGCCGAAGUUUCCCUCAGGAUAGCAGUGACGUCUUCAGUUUCAUGAGGUAAAGCGAAUGAUUGGAGUCCUAGGGGUUGAAACAACCUUUAACUACUCUCAAACUUUAAAUAUGUGAGAAGCCUUUGUUGCUUAGCUGAACGUGGGCAUUCGAAUGUACCGUCACUAGUGGGCCAUUUUUGGUAAGCAGAACUGGCGAUGCGGGAUGAACCGAAAGCGAGGUUAAGGUGCCGGAAUGCACGCUUAUCGGAUACCACAAAAGGUGUUAGUUGAUCUUGACAGCCGGACGGUGGCCAUGGAAGUCGGAACCCGCUAAGGAUAGUGGUAUGUUGCCCCGACGUGUCCCCGAUCGUCCCGUCGGAUUUACGCUAACAGCCUCGACAGUAACAACUCGUGAGUAUUUUACCCAGGGACCUUUGCGUCUAGCACAGCGCCAGACUUUGCGCGCUGACAACGUCCCCCAGACCGGCCGAAUCAACUAGCCCUGAAAAUGGAUGGCGCUCAAGCGUGCUACCCACACCUCGCCGCCGGGGCAGGAACGAUGCCCCGGCGAGUAGG
rnacentral:rRNA from 1 species